GCUCCCGCUCCAAGGGUAGCUGGAGAGUCUACACUGCGCCGGCUGCGGGCGGGGGAGGCUGGCCGGAUCUCUCGGCUUCCUUCCCGGACCUACCCCAGGCUGGACACCCUGCGUUUGAACUUGGCCUUCCCGCAAUCUGGCCAGGAAGACCUUUACCAAUCUCCUCAAACUCCUAAAACGACUCAGCAUCAGGGACAAUCCCAACUGCUUGAUAAGAAGAAAUGAGGACUUAUCUCGACUUUCUCCCUCUCAAAACAAACUCACCUGCAGCCAUACAGAAUGACAACUGUUCCGUUUCAUUUUGAGUCUUGGAGUAUUAGUCUAAACUGAAAAUGCCAAAAAUAACGAGUGGUACGUCUGUGUGACCUGGUAGGAAAGCUGAGGCCCAGGUGGCCCCAGCUUCCUCUCAGUCAUUUCUUCAGUGAUGUACUUGUGAUACAGGUUCUGUUUGUUGGUUGAGCCUUCUGUGAAUCCUUAUCUUAAGCCAGAGUUCAUCUCUGUGAGAAUGUCAGGCCGAGAAGCUCAUCCACAAGGUGAUCUGCUCCCAAUUCCCGUUUCCCUCUCUGCACAUGGGCCUGAAUAGUGUGGACAAUAGGAUCAAAUAAUUGCCUUCAGACUCUUUCUUUAACUGGAAUGUGGUCUGAUGGAUGAGAACAGAAAACCUCACUAAUGGGAAAAUAUAGUAAUUCUAAGUAUGUUAUUUCCCUAAUGAUUGCUUCCGGUUAUAUAAAAUAAAAUAUAUGGAAACCAUAUAAUUUUAUCUUGAGCAUACUUCAUGGGGUUAUAUCCUAAACUUAUUAUU